GUGAAUCAUCAAAUUUUUGAACGCAAAUUGCACUCUCCUCGGAGAGUAUGCCUGUUUGAGGGUCAGCCUAUAAAAAAUCGACAUCUUUGCUUUUUCGCGGGGGCUUUCUUCGGAAAUUGUGUCAUCUUAAAUCUUUUGUUUUUAAGCGACUUAAAAUUUUCUUUUUGUUUCCUUGAACUUUUCUAUGAUUUAUUUCUUUACACGUUUAAGUUAUCUAUUUUUAUUAGACGUAACCAUC
rnacentral:misc_RNA from 1 species